AGUUUACAAUUUUUAUUUAAACAUUGUAUACAAAUGGACCUCUUACAUUGUCUCAUAGGAUAUCAUAUUAUAAUAAAACAAUACAAUACUAUACAAACACCAAGUCAAAACUUUUAAAUUCAUCUGCAAAUUCUUUAUUUGGCGACUAUUUAAUUUGUAUAGUUAAUUGUAAAAAUUAGUAAUUCAUAAUAAAUUACACUGAACUAUGAGAAACUAUAUCUAUGACUAGACAAUACAAUUUGAUUUGACUAGCAAAUGUUUCAUAACUGUACCAGUACACUGAUAUUUGAUAUUUAUGUAAAUUAUUAUGGAAUCAAAUAUAUUUCUGUAAUAUAAUAUAGUCUCUGAACAAACUACUCAAUUAAUUGUAUUGUAAAGUUAAUUUUUACGAAGAGGGAAAUAUUAAGUCAGCCUACUUAAAGGUUAUGUUAUUAAAUUGUAAUACAAUUCCUCAUAAGUAGCAUUAUGAGGUUGUUAAAAUAGAAAAUUUUACAUUUUUAAAAAAAAUUAAUCAGACAUUUCCAAUUUUUAAUUAACUUAUUUUCAAAAAAUGUAAGAUGAAAAAUUAACUAUGUUUGUACUAAUUGUAUUUGUUGUAUUUGAAGUCCGUAGCCCUUAAAUAAGUUUAAAUGUAGAGUAGUUAAUAUAUUAUGUACAU